rnacentral:rRNA from 1 species
GACGUAGGGCGCGAGCGUUGUCCGGAUUUAUUGGGCGUAAAGAGCUCGUAGGCGGCUUGUCGCGUCGGCUGUGAAAGCCCCCGGCUCAACUGGGGAGGGUCACGCGAUACUGAUCGACUCGAAGGCAGGAGAGGGAAGUGGAAUUCCCGGUGUAGUGGUGAAAUGCGUAGAUAUCGGGAGGAACACCAGUGGCGAAGGCGACUUCCUGGCCUGUUCUUGACGCUGAGGCGCGAAAGCUAGGGGAGCAAACGGG